rnacentral:tRNA from 1 species
GAGCCUCUAGCUCAUGCUUGGUUAGAGCGGCGGGCCCAUAACCGUUGGUACCGUGUUCGACUCACGGGAGGCCCACCA